UACGAAGGGGGCUAGCGUUGCUCGGAAUGACUGGGCGUAAAGGGCGCGUAGGCGGCGGUCUCAGUCAGAUGUGAAAUUCCUGGGCUUAACCUGGGGGCUGCAUUUGAUACGUGGUUGCUUGAGUGGGGAAGAGGGUCGUGGAAUUCCCAGUGUAGAGGUGAAAUUCGUAGAUAUUGGGAAGAACACCGGUGGCGAAGGCGGCGAGCUGGUCCGGUCCUGACGCUGAGGUGCGAAAGCGUGGGGAGCAAACAGG
rnacentral:rRNA from 1 species